rnacentral:rRNA from 1 species
UGGGGAAUCUUGGACAAUGGGGGCAACCCUGAUCCAGCCAUGCCGCGUGAGCGAUGAAGGCCUUAGGGUUGUAAAGCUCUUUCACCGGUGAAGAUAAUGACGGUAGCCGGAGAAGAAGCCCCGGCUAACUCCGUGCCAGCAGCCGCGGUAAUACGGAGGGGGCUAGCGUUGUUCGGAAUUACUGGGCGUAAAGCGCGCGUAGGCGGGCUGUUAAGUCGGGGGUGAAAUCCCGGGGCUCAACCCCGGAACUGCCCUCGAUACUGGCAGCCUAGAGGAUGAGAGAGGCGAGUGGAAUUCCGAGUGUAGAGGUGAAAUUCGUAGAUAUUCGGAGGAACACCAGUGGCGAAGGCGGCUCGCUGGCUCAUUUCUGACGCUGAGGUGCGAAAGCGUGGGGAGCAAACAGGAUUAGAUACCCCCGUAGUCC